CCGCUGGUUUACCAGUCAUAA
rnacentral:siRNA from 1 species